rnacentral:rRNA from 1 species
UACGUAGGGUGCGAGCGUUAAUCGGAAUUACUGGGCGUAAAGCGUGCGCAGGCGGUUCGUUGUGUCCGAUGUGAAAGCCCCGGGCUUAACCUGGGAAUGGCAUUGGAAACUGGCGGGCUUGAGUGCGGCAGAGGGGGGUGGAAUUCCCUGUGUAGCGGUGAAAUGCGUAGAGAUGGGGGAGAACACUCGUGGCGAAGGCGGCCAGCUAGACCAGUUCUGACACUGAGGCGCGACAGCGUGGGGAGCAAACAGG